rnacentral:lncRNA from 1 species
CUACACUCAGAAUAGCCUGGCUGCUUCUCUGUCUCCGAGACCGGAGGGAGUGGGAACCAACAGCUGGGCUGGAGAGUUGGUGCUGGCAAAACAGUCCUUCCCCUGGGGCCGGUUCUUACCCAGGUCCAGAGAAACCAACGCGGGAUGUCAGACUUCACCAAAAGGACUUUCUGGUUGCCCCUGGCUGGCUUCCUGGAGGCGUUCGCCUCUAGUUUCUCAGGGAUGGAGCGAGAGCCCAGCCAGAGAACAGUAAGAGGAGCUGCUCUCCUAUCUGCACUCACCCAGGCCUUCACCCAGACUUUACCACUGAGGCGGCUGAGUGCAGCUACAGCUAGGUCCGCGUCCCUCACUCUUUUCAUCUUCUGCACGUUCUUCGUGAAACUGGAAGGAUCCCAGGUCUCAGCCAGAACACGGUGGAAGAGAACUUUCCUAGGAAACGGUUCAUGUGUCACUUUUCAGGAUGUGGAAACACUAUUCUGGAACGGAACCCCAGCCCUUCCAGGUCUG